rnacentral:rRNA from 1 species
CGCUCCCUGAGUAUUAUAGGGAGUCUGACCUGCCCGGUGAGAAUUUAACGGCCGCGGUACUUUGACCGUGCGAAGGUAGCGUAAUCAUUUGCCCUAUAAUUGAGGGCUUGUAUGAAUGGUUUGACGAGAGUUAGGCUGUCUCAAUUUAAUUUUUUAGAAUUUAACUUUUAGGUGAAAAGGCCUAAAUAAAAUUAAAAGACGAGAAGACCCUAUCGAGCUUAUAACAAUUUCAGUGAAUUUGCUGAUGAGUUUUUAGUUGGGGCAACUAGGGAACAAAAAAAGCUUCCCUGAAUAAUCUUAUUGGCUAAUAUUGAUCCACUAAUAGUGAUUAAGGUUAAGUUACCGUAGGGAUAACAGCGUAAUUUUUCUUGAGAGUUCUAAUUGAAAGAAAAGUUUGCGACCUCGAUGUUGGACUAAAGUUUCCAAAAGAUGCAGAAGUCUUUAAGGGUUGGUCUGUUCGACCAUUAAAACUUU